GCCCGGAUGGUCUAGUGGUAUGAUUCGCCCUUAGGGUGGGCGAGGUCCCCAGUUCAAUCCUGGGUUCGGGCC
rnacentral:tRNA from 1 species